GUGCUUGCUUCAGCAGCACAUAUACUAAAACUUUAACAGUACAAAGAAGAAUUAGCAUGGCCCCUGCACAUAGAUGACAUGAAAAUUUGUGAAGCAUUACAUUUUUUA
ensembl:snRNA U6 U6 spliceosomal RNA